AUGACAAGGACCACCAGGAGUGUGACCCAGGACAAGAAGCAGAACUGGGAUGAUCCCUGCCACCCUGUUCAGCAACACUUCCAGGGCAGCAAGUCCCCAGAAACCCACAAAGACCCUCUACACCAACGCCCUCAACUCCCAAAGCCAACUCAAAGAGAAGCAGAACUUCCUGUCAGCCCACAGACAGGAAGUGAGCUGCGGGAAAGCGCUGGCUGCCAGCCUCCUCGUUCCACACUGGACCAGGGGCAGGGGUUCCUCUCAGAGACCAACCAGAGCAAAGCGGCUCGCAGGGCAAGGUCUGAGAGAGGAGCAGAAGCCCAGAAGCAGAAGUCAGACCACGGACGGGCAGGGACAGUCAUCUCAAGAGAAAGCCAGGCAGAAGGCGAGAGGAAGAAAAAGGCGGUGCCGGCAGCGAGGGAUGUGGAUACCCCGAGCGGCACCAACAGCGGCGCGGACAAGAAGCGCUUUGAAGUGAAAAAGUGGAAUGCAAUAGCCCUCUGGGCCUGGGAUAUUGUGGUUGAUAACUGUGCCAUCUGCAGGAACCACAUUAUAGAUCUUUGUAUAGAAUGUCAAGCUAACCAGGCGUCCGCUACUUCAGAAGAAUGUACGGUCGCAUGGGGAGUCUGUAAUCAAGCUUUUCAUUCCACUGCAUCUCUCGCUGGCUCAAAACAGGACAGGUGUGUCCAUUGGACAACAGAGAGUGCGAAUUCCAACAGUAUGGGCACUAGGAAAAGACUUCUUCCAUCAAGCUUAAUUGUUUUGUUAUUCAUUUAAUGACUUUCCCUGCUGUUACCUAAUGACAGAUUAGAUGGAUCCGUGUUUUUUCUGCUUUGUUUUUUCAGUUUGCUGUUUCUGUAGCCAUAUUGUAUUCUGUGUCAGAUAAAGUCCAGUUGGAGUCU